UACGUAGGCAGCGAGCGUUGUUCGGAGGUACUGGGCGUAAAGGGUGUGUAGGCGGGUCUUUAAGGUUGGUGUGAAAUCUCCCGGCUCAACCGGGAGGGUGCGCCGAAUACUGAGGGAUUCGAGUGCGGGAGAGGAAAGUGGAAUUCCUGGUGUAGCGGUGAAAUGCGUAGAUAUCAGGAGGAACACCGGUGGUGUAGACGGCUUUCUGGACCGUAACUGACGCUGAGACACGAAAGCGUGGGUAGCAAACAGG
rnacentral:rRNA from 1 species